AGUCUCUCAUAGAAACUUCUGGCCUCUGGACACUGUGGGAGCAACUUUUCCUUUAUUAGACUGUCUCCUCUUUAACUGUACCUAGAAGAUACUUUAGCACAGCAAGCAUCUCUUUUAUGCUUACAUUAUGCAGUUAUGCAGACUUGGUGUACGUCCUUCAAGGACAGUCUAAGAAUCUUUGAUUCUAUUUCUGCUGGAUACAUUGUUGCAGAGAUGAAUAUUGCAGCAUGACUGGGAAGCCUGUCCUUCAUUACUUCAAUUGAAGAAGAAGAAUGGAGUCCAUCCGGUGGCUCCUGGCAGCAGCUGGAGUAGAGUUUGAGGAAGAACUUUUUGAAACCCAUGAAGAGUUUGAGAAGUUAAUCCAAGGUGGAACCCUGAUGUACGAGCAAGUGCCCAUGGUGGAAAUCGAUGGAAUGACUUUGGUGCAGACCAGUGCCAUCUUAAGAUAUGUAGCUGCAAAAUAUGACUUGUAUGGAAGGAACCUGGAGGAACAAGCCUGAAGAGAAGGAGAUGAACCUUGAAUACAUCCUCCACCGAGCUACAACAAGAUUCUUCCCCGUUUAUGAGAAGGACUUCAAGGUGAGAACCAGCCAAAUUCCUACAAUUAACAGCUUCCUCCAACCUGGAAGCCAGAGGAAGCCUCCUUUGGAGGAGCGAUCCAUUGGGACUGCAAAGGACAUAUUCAAAUUUGAAUGAGGACUGUUUCUUAAAAACAUGAGCAAUAUAGUAGCUGAGUAUUAACAGCUACAGAGGCUGGAGUUACUCAGUAAGUAUACUGAGUAACUUGACACUGCAUUCAUAAAAAGACACUCACUAAGUAUAUGGCCAGAGAAAUAUCCUGAAGUUAGUAAUAAAUGUUAGGAAUCUUAGUAUGUUAGCAAUGUUAGAAUGUUAGUAAUGGAAAUAUUAAAUGUGUAAGAGAAAAACUACUAGAAGCUUAUCAAUAAACUACAAGAACCAACUCUUGUUUGAAGUAAGACAGGCUACCAAGACAGAAUUCAGAAAAUCCAAGGAGCCCUCGGCCUUCUGUAUGAUCCUAGAAUAAACUUGUAUGUAGCAAGUGAAA
rnacentral:lncRNA from 1 species